ACAUACGACCACAGGAAGUGGAAAACAGAGCUUCCCGUCCGCUCAGCUGUACUUAAGCCACUUGCCGGUCGGUUAGUAGUUGGGUGGGUGACCACCAGCGAAUCUCGACUGUUGUUGGCC
rfam:Trichophyton equinum CBS 127.97 supercont1.10 genomic scaffold, whole genome shotgun sequence.